CAGGAGUGAGCUGUGCUGUUAGAGGAAUGGAGCAGUAUGAAUCCAUGUCAGGUGUAAAGAAGGAGGCCCUGAGAAUCGAAACAAUGUGGAGAUGAGGAGAUUGACAACACCACUGGAAAGACAAACAAGAGCAAGAUUGCUUGAAAGACAUAGGAUGCAUCAUUGAACUCGGGGGAGUGUUCUUGGUCUGGGUUUUUUUCCAGCUAGUACAGACUGAUAAAAGCUU